UCUCCUCCAUGGGUGCACCUUGGGCAGCACCAGAGCCCAGCCAGGGCUGCACCCAAGAUGAACCCAAAUGGUCCCAAAAUGAACCCAAGAUGAACCCAAAUGGCCCCAAAAUGAACCCAAGAUGAACCCAAAUGGUCCCAAAAUGCACCCAAAAUGAACCCAAAUGAUCCCAAAAUGAACCCAAGAUGAACCCAAAUGGUCCCAAAAUGCACCCAAGAUGAACCCAAAUGGUCCCAAAAUGCACGAGCGCUGCCGGGGUCUCUCCCUGGGCUCAGCUCUGCUCCAUGUGCACAUUGCAGUUCAGUGUCCAACCCCAGUGCAGCCCCUGCACUCCCAUCCUUGUUUUUCUCUCUGCAGCCCACGGGGUUUGUGCUCCUGGGCUGGCAUUGGGAUCAUUUGUCCUUGGUGCCCAGCUCAGCAGGAAUUGUUUUGUCUCCCUGCUCUGUGCACAGAGCUCCCCAUCCCAUAAUGUGAGCCCAGACCCACACCCCAAAGCAGCACAGAAUGUGAAAAAUAUAAAAGCUAAAACCUGAGGCAUCACUUCCACUUCACACAAGACCUGAUUUCAACAAGUAGCCAGCAAAACUUUAAUUUUGAAAGCAGACAUUGGUUUCAGCUGUCAAUGCUGUAAAAAGUUUCACACAGGAGUAAUUAGGGAGAAGUUUGUCAACACAAAUUUGGGGUGGCUGAACAAAAAGCAGAUGAUAAUAUGUCUUGUCUCAUUACUUCCAUUAAUUUAGUUGAGUUUGGAAAAUCCACCCCUCUGAUAACAUAAUAAGAUACUGCAGUGUCUUUUUUUUUAGAGCUAUUUGAAUUCAAAUCACGCUUCUAAAUAAAUAAAUAAACCUCAUUACUUCUCAUUUUCCUAAUUAUCAUGCAGAUAAACAGUGGGAAUCGUGACAUUAGGAUAAGUAAGUGGCUUAUGAUUUUGCUUCAGAGGAAGAAAUUCUUUCUGUUCCCCCUUUUCCCCCCUUGGGCCACGCACAGGAGUAAUAAAUGAGCAAAUCCGGAGCAGUUUCUGAUGGAUGCUUAAUGGGGCUGUGCUGGAGCCAAGGGCUGCUUUCUGCAGCAGCUGCCACCAUUCCGAGUCAUUAACACACCUUGAAUGCUUGCAUUCCAAAAUCAGGGCAUUUCAGACCCAUGAAGGCACAAAGCCAGGACUUUGAGAAGGAGUUUGGGCUGCAGGCUGGGGGAGGUGUUGGACUUGUGGAGCGUGAGGAGUGUGAGUGGGAAUUAAAACAAUUCAUUCUGGAGGUCACAGGUUGACCUUCAAAGUUUAUUUAUAUCCGGGAAGAGCCCAUUGAGGGAUUUUUGCAUCCUUUUUGGUGGUUCCUGCCUCUGGAGCCAGAAAGCUGCUUGGAAAUCUUCUGGGAGGGAAGAGAAUUAUUGUGUGCAGCAAUAACGAGUCAUUUCCAGUGUGUAAAACAACUGAAAUAUUCAAAUAUCCCAAAUAUUCAAGUCAUGCCAGCAGACUCACAGCAAUGGCUUUGUGUACAUAAUAUUUUGGAGUGAGGAACUACUUCUGUGGAAUAACUAUCAGGUUUUCUUGUAAUGCACUGGAAAGAAGGAUAAUUAAUGGGGGUUGUUUCUGCCUUCAUAAAGGGACAUCUGAGAAGUGCUGAGAUAAAGAGGUCAGCUGGAUCUUUGUUUUACAUCGUAGUAACUCAUGUCAUAUUUUAAUUUUCCUGCUCGCUUUUAUCUGCCUGUUUGAAGCAGGAGAAAAACCCCCAAACGCUUGUAGUUAUUCCUUUUCAAAGAAAUGAUGUGGGAAGGAGAUACUGAACUUGAGCAAAUCACUCUUUGAACCAACUACCUGCCAGUGAGGGACAGCACAGCACAAAAAUAGCAACCUUUGAUAGGUCUGGAAAGUGAAAUUUAAAUUUUUCUACGAACCAACUUGACCUUGAGGAAAAUAUGGGGCUAUUGACCCUCAGCACAUCUACAGGUGACACCAAGCUGAAAGAGAACAGGUUUGGAUUGGAAAUUAGGGAAAAUUUUUUCCUUGUGAGGGUGAAUUGGAUGUGGAAUAUCGUGGAAAAAGCUGUUUGUCAUUAUCUGUUCAGAGUGUUGACAGUCUGGUGCCUGAGAAUGGGUAAAGGUGAUAAAUAAAUGAGAAUUAAAGAUUACGGAAAUACAAAGUUCAGAACUGAAGUUCACCACAGAAAAAAUAUCACAUAAAAUAACUCUUGAAGUCAUGAUUUUGCUGUGGUUUGUUAUUGUGGUGUCACUUGCUUUACAGUAAUAUUUUUCUGGUUUAAAAAACAAAUUUUCCUUUUCUUCAUCUUUCCAAAGUCCACAGAAGUUCAUAUCAUAUUUUAGAUAUUGGGCAAAGUGAUAAAACUCUUACUCCAUGGGAACUGCUGAACAAACCUAGGACAUUCUUUAAACUUUCCAAGUUAUCCUGAAAACAAAAAUAGUUUAUACAGUUGGAAUUGUCACUCAAUGCUGGUUUUGUGUAGGCUGAUAUCUGAGCUUUAAUUCUUCUUUUUAAGUGUGGUAUUUAUUUUGUAAAUUCUGCUCUUAAAUUGGUUUUUUGAACAUGUUUCUGUGUAAGUUUUUCCCAAUACCCUACUUUUUUCUCAAAUCUGUUUUUUUCCAUCUCUGCCAGCUCCUGGAGGUUCCUCCUGCCCUUGGUCACCCAAGUCCUUCAUUCUUGCUUUCUUUUUCUCCAACUCUCUCCCUUUUUUUCCUCUCCUUAUGGAAGAACCACAACAUCCUUUUGUCCCUAUCUUCAGGACAAACGUUUCUCUGCUUCCUGGGAGUUUUUUAUUCUUUAAUUUAGUUUUAUCCUCUUGGCCUCUAUUGUCUGAUGCUGCAAUGCUCCAGAGUUGAUGGAAGGAAUAAUUGCCAGCAGAAUUCCCAAAAAUCCCUGCAUUCCUGAGAGGACUUUUUGUGUUCUACAAAGCUCUGGGCUCCCUUUUUCUAUUUUAUUUUAUUUUCCCCCAGGGUCUUAUGGACAUAGUUAAGUUAAAUUUGACUUUAUUGGAGGUAAAAGGAGGAAAUGGCCUGAAACUGUCAUGGUGGGCACCUCUCUGCUGGCUCUAACCAGAUUCCUUGGAAACUCCAUCAAUGCUGAAAUUUCUCAGCAGAAGAAAAUGAAAUUGUGUUUAUUAUUAGUGAAGGGUUUUCUCUCUUUUUGACAUGGAUGAAAUGAAUUUGGCUUAGGCCCUCAGAAAAGGUGGAGAUGAAGCGUGGAGCAUCUUUAACUCUCUCUCGUGCUUCUGGAGCUGUAGCUCGAGGGGCUGUGGAGUGGAAAAUGAAUGGAAAGUAAUUUUAUUUUAUGGAGAGGGUGACACAAGGUUUUUGUGCUGGUGGAACAGCAAGAGACAACUAUUUCUUUUCCCAGUAGUUCUCAGUGCAAGUUUGAUCAUAAUUUGGAAGGAAAAGAGGGGGUUUUAAAAUCAGUUUUACUGUUCACAUUUGGUUUUAAGGGUGUGAUGGUUAAUUAUGCAGAGGAACAAAACUAAUUAGGGGAAUCUCCAGUUUAUGCUGCCUUAAAAGUUUAGUAUUUAGACUUUUUUUAAUUCUGUAAAGCUUUAAACCAAAAUAUCCAUGCACAGUCAUUGGCAAAGAGAGGAACAUUUUCAGGUGGUUAUGGAUGUCAUCAGCUGUGCCAGAAUUUUUCACCCUCAGAUCUCUUUAAUAUUAAAGAAAACCAGGUGAUUUCAGAGUGCAGUCCGAGCUGGUUCAGGUGUCAUCUUUCUGAUAAAUGCAUUUUCCUGAAGAAGUGUCCAUGUCUCUGUAAAUGCCUCGCUGCCUUGAGGGCUUCUGGUUGCCUUUCUCUUUUAUAAUUAAGGUGAUUAAACUUAUAUAAUUAAUUAAGGUGUUAAACUUCUAUAAUUCAGGUGCUUUUCACACAAAAGGUGUAGAUAUUAUCAUGGCUCCCACAUCCAUGGCACACAAAAACUGCUGAUUAUAAAUCAGAAACAUCCACAAGGAGCAGUGGUUUGAAACUGAGAGAGGAUUUAGGUUGGAUAGAAGGAAGAAAUUUUGUGUGAUGAGGGUGGGAGGCCCUGGGAUGGAAUUCCCAGAGCAGCUGUGGCUCCCCUGGAUCCAUGGAAGUGCCCAGGGCCAGGUUGGACAGGGCUUGGAGCUCCCUGGGGCAGUGGAAGUUGUCCCUGCCCAUGGCAAGGGGUUGGGAUUCAGUGAUCCCAAAGGUCCCUUCCAACCCAACCAUCCCAGGAUUCCCUAUCAGAGCAUUUUUUUCCCCUUUAAUAAUUUGUGAAGAACUGGGGAGAGUCAGGGGUUCUACACUGGGCUCCUUUUUGCCUUUGGCAUCUAUUGUACACUUUGUAGUUCUGUUAAUUUAAAAUUUUAACUCUGUGGCCUUAAAAUCCCAAAUUUCUACUCAUUCCUGCAUUCCUUGGGAUUGGGGUAUGUCCUGCAGGAUUAAUUAUGGAUGUUAAUAAUAAUAAUAUUAAUUAUGGCCACAGGGGAAUGGAAGUGGAUUGGGAUUAAACCCCUUCCCACAGAGAGGUUUUGGUGCUGUGCUGCAGGUUCUCCUGCAAGGGCUUCCCCAAAUUUCUGGAGGAGCUGCCCGUGCUUUCCUGGGAUUUCCUGCUGUGUUCUUGGCAGGGUGCUGUGAUAGCACUUUAAGAGAGUAAUAAAUGGCUUGUGUAAGUUGUUCCUUUAAGUUAGAGUUUCUAUAGAACAAUUUUACAAAUUGUUGCAUGUCACAGCUGUAAAUGGGUCGAGCACAUCGCCGAGUGUGGAGCUGACAACAAAAAAAAAAAUCAGGGCUUGUACUGCUCGUGAGAAGAAAAAAAAGCUAUUUUAUACUCCAUUAAACUGUUACACAUCAUAAAUAAUUUAUGCUCAGCCUGCUCUGUUCUGUAGCAAAGAUGAUAAACUCGACAUUUUUGGAGCAUUUUAAUGGAUAUCAUCAUUUUCAUGAAUUUCUCUGUAACAGAAGCCUCGUUCCUGCAGUAUUCCCCUGGUCAUUAUAUGGAUGGAAGUGGGUUAAAUGAUUAGAGUACAUUCCAAAGUGAGUCCUUGAGUCUUGCUCUGAGUUCCACAAGCAUCUAGGAAUGGAUUUUAAAUACAUUAUCUCAUGUAUUGAGUUGGAAGGGACCCUAAAGAUGAUUUAAUUCCAACCCUCGUGUUUUAGGCAGGGAUGUCACCCACUCGAGCAGGGUAUAGAUGUAGUAUCUAGACGUAAUUUUGCUCACUUCAAUUAAUAAUCUAAUUAUUAUUACUUAUUUCUAUCAUUUCCAGAAGUGUCUGAACAUCUAAUGUAAUAUUAUGAGGGUGAUUCUGUUUCCAGACCAGAAUAUUGAUGAUUUUUCUACUUCAUACUGAACUUUCAGGCUCUUUAACUCAGUGGUUGGGAAAGACCUUUUGUACACAGAAUUCCUUCCUUCAUUUUAUUUUCCAGCACGACCUGUAGUGGCACUUUAAUUUCAAAACAUGACUCUGUCUCAAUCAGCUUGUUUUUACCUCAGCAAAGUUAAUAUUAAGAGCUGCAGUUAAUAAUAAAAAUUUCUUGGAGGAAACCAGGCUGGAACAGGAGCUGGUGAGUGCUGAGAUAAGGAAUAAUUUCAGAGCUUCACCAAACUGAGCCUUCCGUCCAAAAUCAUUGUUCCUGUCUUUAAUUUCCUUUUACAUGACCUUCCCUGAUCGUUUGGGUGUCAUCCCUGUAGCAGCUGUCCACAGGAAAGAUAAUAAUUAAAGACAAUUUGGAGUGGAAAGAGAGAAAUUGCCACGUUUUGGGUGUGCUGGACUUGGCUCUGCAAUAUUUCGUGGGCACAAAGGACGGGUGUAGAACAGAAAAGUUCCUGCUUCUCUUUCUGGAUUGACUGAAUUCUCAGUCAUGGUUGCACUGGAGUUGGGGCAGGAUGACAUCAGUGUGACACUCACAGCCUGGACCUGAAUUCCCAGCGCUGGAAUUCACACCUAGCUCUAACUCAUGGAGAGGCUCAUCCAGGGAACCUCAGGUUGGAAAAGAUGUGGAAAACCUCCAAGAAUGUGGUAGAGGAAGAUCAUGUUUUGAGAAGAUGAUGUUUUGAGAGGAUGAUGUCUUGAGAAGAUGAUGUUUUGAGAAGGUGAUGUUUUGAGAGGAUGAUGCUUUAAGAUCAUGUUUUGAGAAGAUCAUCUUUUGAGAAGAUGAUGUUUUGAAAGGAUGAUGUUUUGAGAACAUGAUGUUUGGAGAAGAUCAUGUUUGGAGAAGAUCAUGUUUUGAGAGGAUGAUGCUUUAAGAAGAUCACGUUUUGAGAUCAUCUUUUGAGAAGAUGAUGUUUUGAGAGAAUGUUUAGAGAUGAUGUUUCGAGAAGAUCAUGUUUUGAGAAGAUCAUCUUUUGAGAAGAUGAUGUUUUGAGAGGAUGUUUUGAGAAGAUCAUGUUUGGACAAGAUGAUGCUUUGAGAAGAUCAUGUUCUGAGAUGAACAUGCCUUGAGAAGAUCAUUAUUUUGAGAAGAUGAUGAAGAUGGUGUUCUGAGAUCUCUCUUCUUCUGCUGGAUCCCACCCAUCCUGAGCUGCCAGCAGAUCUCCUGUGGGAUGGUGCUUGGGCAGCUGCCACCACUUCCUUUUAACCUUUAAUCCAAUAUUUUUCCUUCAGGCUCAUCCCAACACCUGCAGAUAUUCCAUGUGGGCUUUCCCAGAAGAGGAACCCUCAUUUCUGUUAUAAGCAUUUCCUUUGGAAAAUCUUCACUCACAAACCUGAAGUGGCAGGAGCUCUUCCAGCCCCCAGCCCCAGUGCCAGGUCUGGAAUCCUUGGAUGUGCCUUGGGAGCUCACCAGUCCCUUGGUGUCCACCUACCCCAUCCCCUGAUAUUUGGUGAGAUGACCUUGAGGCAAGACCUUCCAGGGACUUUCACCUGGCUAAAUUUAAUUUACAAAUUCAAACUGGACUCUUAUUUUGAAGCAGAUCAUUCUUUUCCCAGAAAAACCCAAACUGGAGCCAUCUCAGCAGUUCCACUGGGAAUUUUUGGGAUGUUAAAUAAAUUUGGAGCUUGGAGUCUGUGCUGAGGGGCUGCUCCAAACCUGGGACUACCAAAAGCUUCAGGAGCUGAGUCUGAAAUCUGCCUACAAACCUACAUUCAACCACCUAAUAAUGAUUUUUUUUUAUCCUCACCUUAAAUAAUAGGAAUUUUAAACCACACACACUUGGGAUCUUGCUGCAUCCAGCAUUAGAUGCCUUUUUUUUAUUUUUAAAAUUUAAUUAUUAAACAUAGAUUUUCAACCAGCCACUUCUUUGCUCUGUUCUGCCUCACAGAGAACAAAAUAAAUGUGUUUUUGUUGUAUCCAGUGUAGGCAGGGCUUGGUUUUGUGACAGGAUGGCUCUGCAGGUGUCCCUGCAGCCAGGUACAAGGUGAUUCCUGGAAUUUUUUGUAGGGAAGAAAUCCAUUUUUCCAGUGAUGGCAACUCCUGCCAGUGCUGCCCAAAUCCAGGUGCUACCUUUGAAAACAAAACCCAGGUUGGCCUUUAAGUCUUGGUCCAAUUUCUCUGUGAUUGAGAAGAACUUGUAUUUAAUAUUAGUGAUCUGGUUUGGGUGUUAAAUUUGGGUGGUUUUUCUUUCAAAAACACUCAAGCAAAGGUUUUGUCUGACAGAGCUUUUUGUGAAGAAACAACCAACCUGUUCCAGUACCUCAUUUACACCUGAAGUGCAGCAUUCAGCUAAUUGAAAACGUGGCUAUUCUUAAUUAUUUUCUUGCAGCUCAUUGACAUUCACAAGGAUCUUGUUGCUGCAGCCCCAUAAAUAUAAUAUUACUUCACAGGUUUUUAUUUUGGCACUCAGUUCUCCUCUAUUGGCAUAUUUAUAGUCUCCUGUAUAAAUGAAUAAUUUUAUUUAUUAUUAAUUCAUUUGAACUUUGCUGUGUCUGCGUUACUGUACAAGUGUCAGGGGUGGAAAAAACUCUUUUUGCUGAUUUUCUUACUUACCAACCAAAUCUUCCAGUUAGUUUCACAACACAGGGAAGCAAACCUUUGGAUAAACAGAUUUUUUCGUAUUUUACAUACAAUAUUUCUCCUUUAUCAGUGCCAGAUGAGCACAGUGAGCAGUGUCACUGUAGAGCAGUAAAAUCCAGCUGGUUUGAUGAUUCAUUAUUUUGGGGGGAUGACAGGGAACCAAACCCAAAAAUCAACCCAACUUCCCAAGUUAAUCACAUUUCCAGAGCAAAAUCUUCCAUUCAGAGGGAUAUCCUUGGAAUAAAUGUUACUGCGUUCCCUGAUCACAGCAAGACAGAGGAAAAGGAUUAAGCUCAGCUUAAAUCCUGGCGGAUAAGGAUGGGUUUUGUCCUUUACACCCGCAAAGCUGCGCCCUCACGAAUCAUCAGAAAUGGGGCGAGUGAAUUCAGUCAGGAGGUUCUUCCCUGGGUUUUAUUCCAUCCCACUGCCUUUCCAAAGUCAGUUUUAGUUCCAGCUCAUGGAUGGAAUCAUGGGGAACACGAUUGGAUUGUAAGAACUAAACUUUAACCGAGUUCUCCUGAGCUUUAUGGGAUAUUAAAUACAUAUUUUCUUUGUCACUGGCCUAUUUUGCACAACAGGAAUGUUCUGGAGAUCUUUGUUUUGAGGAUCAUGGGAUGGUUACAUUUGCAUUGGGUACCCAUGAAGAUGCCUUGCAGAUCUGGAAUAUGAGAAAUGGAAUGUUGGAUAUGGAAUAUGAGAUCGGGAAUAUUAGAUCUGGAAUGUGAGUUAUGGAAUAUGAGAUCUGGAAUAUGAGAGAUGGAAUAUUAGAUCUGGAAUGUGAGAUGGAAUGUGAGAUGUUGAAUGUUAGAUCAGGAAUAUGAGAUGUGGAAGAUGGGAUGUGGCAUAUGAGACGUGGAAUAUGAGAUAUGGAAUGUUAGAUAUGGAAUAUGAGAUCUGGCAUAUCAGAUCUGGAAUAUGAGAUCUGGAAUGUUAGAACUGGAAUUUGAGAUUUGGAAUAUUAGAUCUGGAAUAUGAGAUUUGGAAUAUGAGAUAUGGAAUGUUAGAUCUGGAAUGUGAGAUGUAGAAUAUGAGAUCUGGAAUAUCAGAUAUGGAAUAUUAGCUCUGAAGUAUGAGAUCUGGAAUAUCAGAUCUGGAAUGUUAGAUUCUGAAUGCGAGAUAUGGAAUGUUAGAUCUGGAAUAUGAGAUAUGGAAUAUGCGAUAUGGAAUGUUAGAUCUGGAAUGUGAGAUAUGGAAUGUUAGAACUGGAAUUUGAGAUUUGGAAUAUUAGACCUGGAAUGGUAGAUCUGGAAUAUGAGAUUUGGAAUAUGAGAUAUGGAAUGUUAGAUCUGGAAUGUGAGAUCUGGAAUGUGAGAUAUGGAAUAUGAGAUGUGGAAU